GCAACCCACAAAGGACUGUCAUGAAGGACUGUGCUAAGCUAAGUAAUGCAGGAGAAGAAAACCUUUCACCAUCGUAAGGUCUUGUUAUAAUUUUCUCCUGCAUAACUGCCCAAGAAAGAAAUGAACCAUAAAUCCCAAUCAUGCAAACAAAUAAUUGUCGCAUAAAGCCAGCCAUUCUAAAGAAAUUGAUGAACCAAAGGUAAAAG